ensembl:lncRNA novel transcript
UGCCUUUGUAUGCUGGGAGGACCAAGCCGGAGGUUCCCACUAUGAGCCCGGAGUCUGUGCAGCCAGAUGACGCAUGAGCUCUAUUCAAAAUACCCAAGAUUUGGAAGCAACCUAAGUGCAUAUCAGCAGACAAAUGGAUAAAGAAAAUGUGGUACAUAUACAAAAUGGAGUACUAUUCAGCUGUAAAAAAGAAUGAGAUCCUGUCAUUUGCAACAACAUGCAUGCAACUGGAGGUCGUUAUGCCUCUGCCUCUGAAUGUGAAGGGAAACUGGACCAGCUCAGUGUCAAGCCUACAGACAUUUCCUUGUUCCUGGGGACUGAGCAGUUUGAAGUUUCCAAAGAUGAAAACAUCUACUCUGAAGAGACCUGAAUGGACAAGAGAUGUUUUCCUCUUCCUUACCAUAAUAAAAGAGGACUGCUCCUGACCACAGGAUAUGCCUGGUCCAGGAAAUGGCCACAUUUCCCCCCUCAGGACCUCUACUUGGAUGGGCUGCCUUGGAAAUAAGAUGGAAACAUCCAUCUUCUCUGUGGUACUAAUUUAGAGUGAUCUUGACUGCCUACAACAUUAAGGAGUAUACUGGAUUGGAAACCCAUUCAAUCUGAUGUCUGCUGAGGAAUGGAGAAAGACCACUGGUGAUUCCUCCAUCCUCACUCCUGUGUCCCUCCUUGCAUUGCAAGUGCUUUACAAGUCUUCCCGAUAGACCAUGAGCAUCCUGAGGGCUGGUAUCAAAUUUAACUCAUCUCCUAUCCUCAGUGCCUCGUACAAGAUGCUGGAUGUAGGAGGAGUUCAGAAGCUCAAACUGAGGCAGAAUCACAGCGAUUUGGAAAAUGGUCCAAUCAGCUAUAGUGGAAGAGCAGAAUCAUUGAAUAUAAAACAUGGAGAUGUCAGCAGCAGGGGCUGUGAGCUGAACAGCUUCACUGGGAAGAGGAUAUGGGUGAGAAGGUACAGCAAUGGGUACCUCCAUUAACAGGUAAGCUGGAUCCUCCAUAGGAAUAGGCACUAGCUGGUUUUGGAUGAAGGUGUCGUAAGAUCAGAUACACUUUUGGGUGAUCAGCAUGAUCUGGGUAUGGACAUGGCAGAGCAGGUGGAAGGGAAGGGACCAAUAUGUGUCAAUAACCAUCUAUGAGCCAGGCACUUACCGGGAAGUAUAAUGUCUUUGUAGUUAGACAGACCAGUAGUGUCUGUUGCUCUGGAGGAAGUUACUUAAACUCACCAAGACUCAGUUUUCUCUGUAUUAAAAUGAUGACACCUACCUCACUAUCUGGCCAUUGGGAUUAAAUAUGAGAAUAUGUGUGAAAAUUUAUGUCAUAUGGUAAGCACUCAGAUGUUUCCUGGUGGAACAGCAUGGUGUGGAUUAGGAACAUCCAAACUCUGACAUCAAGCUGAACUUUUGAAAUAGAGGCCUCCCUGCUCACUAGUUGGGCAACCUUGAACAAGCUAGUUAAACUGUCUAGAGCUCAGUUUUGUUAUCUGGUGAGAUUAAUAGCAUUGAAUGGUGUAAAGCACAUUCUCAGUAAAUGCUCAUUAUUAUGAUUAUAGUUAUUAAUGUUUAUUUAACUUUGAAAUAAUAAUGUGUAGGAGCUCCUCAGGUAGAUAAUGGAAAUAAGAAAUUUCUUAGGUCAUGGAAGCAUGGAGGUAUGGAAAAUUUUGGAGAACAAAGAGGAGUCUGGUGAAGUAGGGUGGGGAUACUGGGCAGAUGCAAAGAUUGCCAAGGGUUAUAUCAUAAAGGCCGGGAUACCAGCCUGGCAUCAACUGCCUUAGAUUGGGAAGAUGCAAAACUGUGGUCUGGAGUCAGCCCUGCAGAAGCCUGUUUCCUGACUUUCCAUCUUCAAUCUCUUUUCUAUGCAGUUACCAGAGUCAUGUUUUGAAAUCUCAAAUCUGAGCAUCUAUCCUCAAAUAGAGGCCUACAUGGCUUCCAGUUCCUCCAGGAGAAGGUCCAAAUCCCUUAAGAUGACUUUAAGGCCCUCAAGUGUUCCAGGCUCUGUACGUUCUUGUGCCACAACUAUGCCACAACAAAACAGUUUUUCCCCCAUUUCUACUUUGUUUUUCCAGCUGUAGAGUCAAAGCCUCAAGAAGGGGAAAGGGACGAAUGGACACCAGGUCAUGUGCCAGGUAGCUGGGAAAUGAAUACUUCUA